CCCUUAGAUGUUCUGGGCCGCACGCGCGCUACAAUGAUGAAUUCAACGAGUUUAUAACCUUGGUUGAAAAGCCUGGGUAAUCUUUUGAACUUUCGUCGUGAUGGGGCUAGACCCUUGCAAUUAUUGGUCUCCAACGAGGAAUUCCUAGUAAACGCAAGUCAUCAGCUUGCAUUGAUUACGUCCCUGCCCUUUGUACACACCGCCCGUCGCACCUACCGAUUGAAUGGUCCGGUGAAAUCUUCGGAUUGAGACUUUGAUUUCUUCACGGAAAACGCUGUUUUAAAAAGUUGAUUAAACCUUACCAUUUAGAGGAAGGCGAAGUCGUAACA
rnacentral:rRNA from 1 species